ACUCCUACGGGAGGCAGCAGUGGGGAAUAUUGCACAAUGGGCGGAAGCCUGAUGCAGCAAUGCCGCGUGUGUGAAGAAGGCCUUCGGGUUGUAAAGCACUUUCAGUAGGGAGGAAAGGGUAAGCCCUAAUACGGCUUAUCUGUGACGUUACCUACAGAAGAAGGACCGGCUAACUCCGUGCCAGCAGCCGCGGUAAUACA
rnacentral:rRNA from 1 species